ACAUUUAUCUUGGCGGGGAGAUACCAUGAUCACAAAGGUGGUUUUCUCAGGGCGAGGCUGAUCCAUUGCACUCGGGAUGUGCUGACCCCUGCGAUUUCCCCAAAUGUGGGAAACUCGACUGCAUAAUUUAUAGCAUUGGGGGACUGCGUCCGCGCUUUCCCCUG